UGCAAUCUCAGCUUCCUGCAGCCAUUGUAUGCUUUUUCAGAUGCUCUUGUUAAGCUUAAAACUUGCAGCUUGUAUAAAUCUUUUUGUAAUAAAUUUUUGUGACCCCGUCCUGGAACUUUUUUGAUGCACCUCAUAUGUGACGCUGCCUUUUGUAUGAUGAUAAACGGACAGAUGACAGUGAUCUGGGGGCUAGGACUGUUGCAAUCCCUGAAAAGAAGAAUAAAUCAAAAUCAG